UGGGGAAUAUUGGACAAUGGGCGAAAGCCUGAUCCAGCCAUGCCGCGGGUGUGAAGAAGGUCGUCGGAGUGUAAAGCACUUUAAGUUGGGAGGAAGGGCAGUAAGCGAAUACCUGGCUGGUUUGACGUUACCGACAGAAUAAGCACCGGCUAACUCGGUGCCAGCAGCCGCGGUAAUACAGAGGGUGCAAGCGUUAAGCGGAAUUACUGGGCGUAAAGCGCGCGUAGGUGGUUCGUUAAGUUGAAUGUGAAAGCCCCGGGCUCAACCUGGGAACUGCAUCCCAAACUGGCGAGCUAGAGUACGGCAGAGGGUUGUGGACUUUCCUGUGUAGCGGUGAAAUGCCUAGCUAUAGGCAGGACCUCCAGUGGCGAAGGCGCCCACCUGGGCUCAUACUGACACUGAGGUGCGCAAGCGUGGGGCGCAAACAGG
rnacentral:rRNA from 1 species